rnacentral:misc_RNA from 1 species
GCCGUUCUUCAUCCCUGAUAUUCUUCAAACCAUCGCCGCUUAUCUCUUGUAUAAAUCCAUCGCGCGUUCUCUGUCUUCCUUAUCUUCUCCCAGCCAAAAGUCCCAGCGCGCGGUGCUCCAGUGGCGUCUUCUCCCUGCUGUGCUCGCCGGAGCUCCUCCAGCUCGACCGCUCGGCUUCCCCUAGCCUCUUCCCCUGCGAGCUCGACUCCUGCUCGCCUAUGGAGUUCGCCCAGCUCCCUGCUCCGGUGACUAGGGCUCGGCGUCCGGCUCCCUGGAUGCUUGCCCUGCUCGCCGCCAUCCUGCUCGGCCAGCGCAGUCCCUUCUCUGCUCUCUCUCUAUUCCCUGCUCACUGGCAGCCGACUCCCUCUACCUCCCAUGGACGCCAGCCGCGCCCCUGGUUCCUGCCUCUGCUCGCCGUGGAGUCUACGCGCGCGCUGCUCCCCUAUUGGCCGCGACGAGCUCGCCCUUUCUUCAGCCCGGUUUCUGUUUCUCAUCUGCUCCUGCUUCGCGCGCGAGUCCCUCUGGCCGUCUUCGCUCCCAGCGCCGCGCACACUGCUCCUUGGGGCUCGGCCGCGACCUCGCCGUCGUUCGGCAGCUCCAGCGCCUCUGUUCUUCCCUGCGCGCGCGUUCCAUCCCGCGCUCGGCGCCUUUCCUGCUCCCAAGUCCGGUGCCCUGCCGAGCUUGACCCUUACCGCGCGCAUCUCAGCUGGUGCCCAUGGCCACGCCCGGCUUCUUGCUCCACCCAUAGUCGAAGCUCCUUCCGGUUGCCGUCGCUCGCCGUCGUCUCUUCGUGCUGGCCGACUAGUUUACCGUGGUCGCGCGUAGUUCCCUGCUCGGCUAGGAUAGUCGCGCCGUCGAUUCCGCUUGAGCCCCUUCGCGUUCGUCGAUGCCCUCUGGCUCGACUCUGCCCAGUUCGCGUCCUGCUCGUCUUUGCGUCGCGCGCGUAGCGUUUUGUUGUUCCUGCGCGUGCUGCCGCGAAGCUCUCUGUUCAGUUCACCUCUGUCGUGUUGUCGUACGCGCGAAACUGCUCGUGGUCGAUAUCAAGUCCGUGACGCGCGCUGGACACGGUAAAACGUUGCGUGGGCUUGUGUCCGAGCCCGCCCAACCGUGACCUCGCUUUGCUUCUCGCGUCGCUACUCGCCAAGUUCUUCCCCAGUCCGCGCCAUAAAAUUCACUCGGACACGAUCUCGUCGUCGUUCCGCGCGUCAGCAAGAAAUCUCAAGAAUCGGAUGAAGACAAAGCUAGCAGCGCGAUAUUCCUCAAGCGCUCGACAAAUUGCCUGGAUCGGAAAAUCGCUACCGAUCUCGUGGAUUCAUGUCAGCUGUGGAAACGGUACAUUAAUUAAUCGCGUGAUGCGGAGAACGACCCAUGUCGACCCCAAGCAUGGGCCAAUCCACAGGAUGAUGCUAAUGGACAAACCUGAAGAGGAUCGUCAAGUGGACAUCGUCUAACAACACUAACCUAGUGUUACCCAGGCAAGCCCCGGUGCAUGCAACCCCUUCUGUCGGUGUUUCGACCCCAGGGGGUCCCUGGACCGACGAGUAAAUUGACGCCGCGUGUCCCAGCCCAGAUGGGUCGGCGCGAGACGGAGCACGAAGGGGGGAGAAACGGCAAAAGGGGAAACCCGCGGCCUUCGUGUUGCCCCGCGCCCAGGUCGGGUGCGCUUGCAGUAGGGGGGUUACAAGCGUCCGCGAGGGAGAGAGAGAGACCGUCCGCCGGCCCGUUCUCCCGCGCGGCCAACCCCCUCGUACGAGAGCCCUGGACCUUCCUUUUAUAGGCGUAAGUAGAGGGCCCAGAUGUACAAUGGGGGGUGUAGCAGUGUGCUAACGUGUCUAGCAGAGAGGAGCUAGGGCCCUAAGUACAUGCCGUCGUGGCAGCCGGAGAGGUUUUGGCGCCCUGUUCAUGUGAUGUCGUGGCCGUCGGAGGAGUGCUUGAGCCUUGUGGAAGUACAACUGUCGGGGCUGUCGGAUCCUUGCUGACGUCUCCUUGCUUCCGUAAGGGGCUGAGAGCCACCGUCGUCAUGGCGCACGCGGGGUGCCAUCAUUACUUGUUUACCGGGGCGAGCCAGAUGGGACGCCGAUCUUGUUCCCCGUAGCCUGAGCUAGCUAGGGGUAGGGUAAUGAUGGCUUAGUGACUUAAGAGAGGGUCAUUUGUGUUUCUCUUGUUGCUCUUGUUGCUUGGAUUGCUUUCUUGUUCUCACUCUAAACUUCUCAAGUGUUUUGUAAAGCAUGUAAGAGACACCUAAUUGUGUGGUGAUCCUUGUAGGGUCUUAGUGACCCGUGUGAUUAAGAAAAAGCACUCGACCGGUCUAAGUGACCGUUUGAGAGAGGGAAAGGGUUGGAAUAGACUCGGCCUUUGUGGCCUCCUCAACGGGGAGUAGGUUCCUUAGAACCGAAUCUCGAGAAACAAAUCACCGCGUUCAUUUGUUUUUAUCUUCAUCACUUGAUAUGUUUCUUCCCUCUCCUCUCUCUCUCUCUCAAAGUUCUCUUGCUCAUAUUGUUUUUGAGUUUGCUCCCAAAGUUAUCCGCUUUGAUUGAGCAACUCAUAGCAAGAGGAACUAUCUUCCGCACUCCAAAUUAUUUCUAACACUAACCCCGGG